GACGAACGCUGGCGGCGCGCCUAACACAUGCCAGUCGAACGAGCGAGCGAGAGCUUGCUUUCUCAAGCGAGUGGCGAACGGGUGAGUAACGCGUGAGGAACCUGCCUCAAAGAGGGGGACAACAGUUGGAAACGACUGCUAAUACCGCAUAAGCCCACGACCCGGCAUCGGGUAGAGGGAAAAGGAGCAAUCCGCUUUGAGAUGGCCUCGCGUCCGAUUAGCUAGUUGGUGAGGUAACGGCCCACCAAGGCGACGAUCGGUAGCCGGACUGAGAGGUUGAACGGCCACAUUGGGACUGAGACACGGCCCAGACUCCUACGGGAGGCAGCAGUGGGGAAUAUUGCACAAUGGGGGAAACCCUGAUGCAGCGACGCCGCGUGGAGGAAGAAGGUCUUCGGAUUGUAAACUCCUGUUGUUGAGGAAGAUAAUGACGGUACUCAACAAGGAAGUGACGGCUAACUACGUG
rnacentral:rRNA from 1 species